rnacentral:rRNA from 1 species
GACGAACCGUGCGAACGUUGUUCGGAAUCACUGGGCUUAAAGGGCGCGUAGGCGGGCCGCCAGGUCCGCGGUGAAAUCCCCCGGCUCAACCGGGGAAGUGCCGCGGGGACCGGCGGUCUGGAGUGAGAUAGGGGCGUGCGGAACUGUGGGUGGAGCGGUGAAAUGCGUUGAUAUCCACAGGAACUCCGGUGGCGAAGGCGGCACGCUGGAUCUCUACUGACGCUGAGGCGCGAAAGCCAGGGGAGCGAACGGG